rnacentral:rRNA from 1 species
GCCUAAAAAAUAAGUUUAGUUUAAAAAUGUUAAAAUAUUUAUUAAAAUCAAAGAAUUGAUAUAAAAAUCUAAAGAUAGUAUUGUUAUAAGAAAUCUUAGUAAGAGCUAUAUUGAUAGUACUGUGAAGGAAAAUUGAAAUAGUAAAGUAAUUUAUAAUUGAUAAAGAAAAGUUUAUUUUUUGUACCUUUUGUAUAAUGGUUGAGUAAGAUUAUACUAAAAUUGGUUUGUGUCCCGAAACUUAAUGAGCUAAUACAUUCUGUUUUUAUAAGAAACAUAAGCUUACUGUUGCAAUAGUAAGUCUAGAGGAUGAAUUAGGUGUGAAAUGCUAAUCGCAUUAAGUUAUAGCUGGUUCUUCAAGAAAUUAAUUUAAGUUAAUAAUGAAAUUAUAAAGUAUAAAGUUCUUUUCGGACAAAAAUAUUUUUUUAUAAAAAUUCAUUUUGAGACAAAUAAGGAUAAGCUUAUCUGUCAAGUGGGAAAAAGCCCUAAUAAAUAAUUAAGAACAUUUAAUACAGAAAUAUCUAAUAAAAGAGGAGUAGGAUUAAUAGCAUCUAACUAAAACAAAAGCGUUAAAGCUUUUCUUUUACUAAAAAGAUAUAAAAUAUUGAGUAUUAGGUUCGAAGUUUUUAUCAAAAUUAUUGAAGACUUUUAUAAGUUUAUAAGAUAAAAUGCUUAAAUUAGUAAAGUGAUAUAAUUGGCUGUGAAUUAAUCAUUCCUAACCUUGGAUGGAUAGAAAACGAAAAUGAUCAGGAAUCAUAAUUCUAUAGAAUGUCUUCCAACUCAGGUAAUUAGUUUUUUAAUUAAAUAAGAAAAAGGAACUCGGCAAAUAUUGACCUCGCCUGUUUACCAAAAACAUCGCCCCUUGCAAAAAAAUUGAUGAAUAAGGGGUCCUGCCUGCCCAGUGACGUAGUUAAACGGCCGCGGUAUUUUGACCGUGCAAAGGUAGCAUAAUCAUUUGCCUCUUAAAUAGAGGCUGGUAUGAAUGGCAAGACUGGGGUUAAGCUGUCUCUUUCUUAUUACUUGAAUUUUAUAUUUUUGUGAAGAAGCGGAAAUAAAUUCGUAGGACGAGAAGACCCUAUCGAGCUUUAAUAAAUUUGUUAGUAGUGAGUUGAUACAAAUUAUCUAAUAAAUCCAUUGAAUGGAUUUAAAAAUUUAAUAUUUUAUAUUACACUAUUUAACAAAAAAAUUUUGAUUGGGGCAAUCGCGGAGUACAAUAAGCCUCCGCUAUAAAUGUUAAAAAUUACCAUUUUUUAAAAAUAAAAAUGAUCCGCUGUAAAGCGAACAAAGGAAUAAGUUACCGUAGGGAUAACAGCGUAAUUUUUUUGGAGAGUUCAUAUUGAUAAAAAAGUUUGCGACCUCGAUGUUGGAUCAAGAUUUCCUAGAGAUGCAGCAGUUUCUGAGGGUUGGUCUGUUCGACCAUUAAAAUCUUACGUGAUCUGAGUUCAGACCGGCGUAAGCCAGGUCAGUUUCUAUCCACGAAAGUUAAACUUUUCUUAGUACGAAAGGACCAGAAAAGUGGUACCAAUUUUUAAAAAAAAGUACUAAAAAAACUAUUGAAAAAAAAAUGAAAAAUUUUAAGAAAAAAUUUCAAGAAAUCUUGUUUUAG